UCCAGACUCCUACGGGAGGCAGCAGUGAGGAAUAUUGGUCAAUGGACGGAAGUCUGAACCAGCCAUGCCGCGUGCAGGAUGACGGCUCUAUGAGUUGUAAACUGCUUUUGUAUUAGGGUAAACACCCCUACGUGUAGGGGCUUGAAAGUAUAAUACGAAUAAGGAUCGGCUAACUCCGUGCCAGCAGCCGCGGUAAUACGGAGGAUCCAAGCGUUAUCCGGAUUUAUUGGGUUUAAAGGGUGCGUAGGCGGGAUGCCAAGUCAGCGGUAAAAAUGCGGUGCUCAACGCCGUCGAGCCGUUGAAACUGGCGUUCUUGAGUGGGCGAGAAGUAUGCGGAAUGCGUGGUGUAGCGGUGAAAUGCAUAGAUAUCACGCAGAACUCCGAUUGCGAAGGCAGCAUACCGGCGCCCUACUGACGCUGAGGCACGAAAGCGUGGGUAUCGAACAGGAUUAGAUACCCUAGUAGG
rnacentral:rRNA from 1 species